rnacentral:tRNA from 1 species
GGGAAGGUAGCUCAGUGGUAGAGUGCAUGCCUUGCAUGCAUGAGGCUCUGGGUUCAAUUCCUCAGCACCA